AUUGAACGCUGGCGGCGUGCCUAACACAUGCAAGUCGAGCGGUAACAGGUGUAGCAAUACAUGCUGACGAGCGGCGAACGGGUGAGUAAUGCUUUGGAAUCUUCCCAGUAGUGGGGAAUAACCAGUCGAAAGAUUGGCUAAUACCGCAUACGUCUGUAAAGGGAAAGCGGGGGACUCGCCUCUUCUUCGGAAGAGAGGCCUCGCGCUAUUGGAUGAGCCAAAGCGGAUUAGCUAGUUGGUGGGGUAAUGGCCUACCAAGGCGACAAUCCGUAGCUGGUCUGAGAGGACGACCAGCCACACCGGAACUGAGACACGGUCCGGACUCCUACGGGAGGCAGCAGUGGGGAAUAUUGGACAAUGGGGAAACCCUGAUCCAGCGACGCCGCGUGUGUGAAGAAGGCCUGCGGGUUGUAAAGCACUUUUAGUGGGGACAAAAAGCUACGGAUUAAUACUCUGUGGUCUUGAUUUAACCUACAAGAAAAAGCACCGGCUAACU
rnacentral:rRNA from 1 species